rnacentral:rRNA from 1 species
UGAGGAAUAUUGGUCAAUGGGCGGUAGCCUGAACCAGCCAAGUAGCGUGAAGGAUGAAGGUUCUAUGGAUUGUAAACUUCUUUUAUAAAGGAAUAAAGUGAGGCACGUGUGCCUUUUUGUAUGUACUUUAUGAAUAAGGAUCGGCUAACUCCGUGCCAGCAGCCGCGGUAAUACGGAGGAUCCGAGCGUUAUCCGGAUUUAUUGGGUUUAAAGGGAGCGUAGGCGGACGCUUAAGUCAGUUGUGAAAGUUUGCGGCUCAACCGUAAAAUUGCAGUUGAUACUGGGUGUCUUGAGUACAGUAGAGGCAGGCGGAAUUCGUGGUGUAGCGGUGAAAUGCUUAGAUAUCACGAAGAACUCCUAUUGCGAAGGCAGCUCACUAAACUGCAACUGACAUUGAGGCUCGAAAGUGUGGGUAUCAAACAGGAUUAGAUACC